GCCGGGUGUGGUGGUGCAUGCCUGUAAUCCCAGCUACUCGGGAGGCUGAGGCAGGAGAAUCGCUUGAGCCUGGGAGGCGGAGGUUGCAGUGAGCCGAGACUGUGCCACUGCACUCCAGCCUGGGCUACAGAGCGAGACUCCGUCCCAA
rnacentral:SRP_RNA from 2 species